GGCGUUCUGCUCUUCUCGACAGGAAUAACUGCAUCCCCGGGGCCUUAUUGAUCUCUAAGGGAGCUGUCCCUGAUUAGGCUCGUGGGCCUUUUCAUAUGGCGCCCACCUACGUUGUAGGUUUCCCGGGAUCAAAUACAUUCCACCGGUUGCUGCGGAUCGCCA
rnacentral:other from 9 species